ACCCAGUAAGCACAACCAGGAGGUAAGAGUGGAGAGAGAAUCAUUACUUGCAGCAGACAGGAUCUUGCUAUGCAGCCCAGGCUGACCUCAAACUCAUGGCAAUCCUCCUGCCUCAGCAUCCCAAGUGCUGGGAUCACAGUCCCUUUCUCUUGUCUAUCCCCACCACCACCACCACCAUACCGGGGAUUGAACUCAGGACCUUGCACUUUUGAGGCAGGUAUGGUGCCUCUGAGCUAAAUCUCUGGCCCUUGUCUAUUUCUCUUUUAAGAAUCAAACUAAAUCUCACCUCCUUUGAAGACUUUCCAGACCUACUCAUCACUUUCUCUUGAUCUUUAUGUUAUAGUUCAAAGUAUUCCUCACAGAUUGAUUGACCAAUCACAAAUCUCUGACAUUAUUAUAUAAUUGUUCCAUGGGAUAUGUUUUUUCUUCAACUAAAUCAUAACCUUUUAGAGGGCAG
rnacentral:lncRNA from 1 species